AAUGAACGUUGGCGGCAUGGAUUAGGCACACAAGUCGGGCGAGAAGAGUUUUGAAGCUUGCUUUAGAACUCGGACAGCGGCGAAAGGGAGAGUAACGCGUAGUUAUGUGCCCUAGGGUCCGGAAUAGCCACGGGAAACUGUGGGUAAUGCCGGAUAAUCUCCCCGGAUCAAAGGUGUGAUUCCGCCCUAGGAGCAGACUGCGGCCUACUAGCGAGUUGGUGGGGUAAUGGCCUACCAAGGCAAUGAUGGGUAGCGGGUGUGAGAGCAUGACCCGUCUCACUGGGACUGAGACACUGCCCAGACACCUACGGGUGGCUGCAGUCGAGAAUCUUCGGCAAUGGGCGAAAGCCUGACCGAGCGAUGCCGCGUGCGGGAUGAAGGCCCUCGGGUUGUAAACCGCUGUCGUAGGGGAGGAAGGUUCCGUGAAGAGCGGAAUUUGACCUAUCCUAGGAGGAAGUACGGGCUAAGUUCNUGCCAGCCGCCGCUGUAAAAC
rnacentral:rRNA from 1 species